AAACAUCUUCAGGGCAAGGUGAAAUUCCUGACCGGCGGUGAUGGCGCAUUUGCGUCCAAGCCCGCGACUCGCAAAUCAUGUAGCAUUUGCGACUGAUCUGGUGCAAUUCCAGAGCCGACGGUAAAGUCCGGAUGGGAGAAGAUGAGA
rnacentral:ncRNA from 2 species